GAUGAACGCUAGCUACAGGCUUAACACAUGCAAGUCGAGGGGAAACGACAUCGAAAGCUUGCUUUUGAUGGGCGUCGACCGGCGCACGGGUGAGUAACGCGUAUCCAACCUGCCCACCACUUGGGGAUCACCUUGAGAAAGUAAGACUAAUACACAAUGAUAUCUCUAGAAGACAACUGAAAGGGAUUAAAGAUUUAUCGGUCACUGAUGGGGAUGCGUCUGAUUAGCUAGGUGGCGGGGUAACGGCCCACCCAGGCGACGAUCAGUAGGGGUUCUGAGAUGAAGCUCCCCCACAAUGGAACUGAGACACGGUCCAAACUCCUACGGGAGGCAGCAGUGAGGAAUAUUGGUCAAUGGGCGAGAGCCUGAACCAGCAAAGUAGCGUGCAGGAUGACUGCCCUAUGGGUUGUAAACUGCUUUUAUAAGGGAAUAAAGUGGGAGUCGUGACUCCUUUUGCAUGUACCUUAUGAAUAAGGACCGGCUAAUUCCGUGCCAGCAGCCGCGGUAAUAC
rnacentral:rRNA from 1 species